AUUGAACGCUGGCGGCAGGCCUAACACAUGCAAGUCGAACGAGUGGCGGACGGGUGAGUAAUGUCUGGGAAACUGCCUGAUGGAGGGGGAUAAAUACUGGAAACGGUCGCUAAUACCGCAUACCAUCGGAUUUGCCCAGAUGGGAUUCGCUAGUAGGUGGGGUAAAGGCUCACCUAGGCGACGAUCCCUAGCUGGGCUGAGAGGAUGACCAGCAAAACUGGAACUGAGAAACGGUCCAGACGCCUACGGGAGGCAGCAGUGGGGAAUAUUGCACAAUGGGCGCAAGCCUGAUGCAGCCAUGCCGCGUGUAUGAAGAAGGCCUUCGGGUUGUAAAGUACUUUCAGCGGGGAGGCGGUACCCGCAGAAGAAGCACCGGCUAACUCCGUGCCAGCAGCCGCGGUAAUAC
rnacentral:rRNA from 1 species